rnacentral:rRNA from 1 species
GUUGGAGGCUAACGCAGGGAACUGAAACAUCUUAGUACCUGCAGGAAAAGAAAAUAAAUAAUGAUUCCCCUAGUAGUGGCGAGCGAACGGGGAUUAGCCCAAACCACCCAUGUUACGGCAUGUGUGGGGUUGUAGGACCACGCUCUCGCAAGACAGUUAUUGAGAAGAAACGACUGGAAAGUCGUGCCAUAGACGGUGAUAGCCCGGUAUUCUAAGGUAACCGAAGCGUAGUGGUAUCCUGAGUAGCGCGGAGCACGAGGAAUUCUGCGUGAAUCAGCCGGGACCAUCCGGUAAGGCUAAAUACUCCCGAGAGACCGAUAGCGAACCAGUACUGUGAAGGAAAGGUGAAAAGCACUUCGAAUAGAAGAGUGAAAUAGUCCCUGAAACCAUGCGCCUACAAGCGGUCGGAGCAGCUUAAG